CAGCCGCCGCGGUAAUACGAAGGGUGCAAGCGUUAAUCGGAAUUACUGGGCGUAAAGCGUGCGUAGGCGGUUUGUUAAGACAGAUGUGAAAUCCCCGGGCUCAACCUGGGAACUGCAUUUGUGACUGGCAAGCUAGAGUGUGGCAGAGGGGGGUGGAAUUCCGCGUGUAGCAGUGAAAUGCGUAGAUAUGCGGAGGAACACCGAUGGCGAAGGCAGCCCCCUGGGCCAACACUGACGCUCAUGCACGAAAGCGUGGGGAGCAAACAGGAUUAGAUACCCCUGUAGUCCCUGUCUCUUAUAC
rnacentral:rRNA from 1 species